UACGGAGGGGGCUAGCGUUGUUCGGAAUUACUGGGCGUAAAGCGCACGUAGGCGGAUGAUUAAGUUGGGGGUGAAAGCCCAGGGCUCAACCCUGGAACUGCCCUCAAAACUGGUCGUCUCGAGUACGGGAGAGGUGAGUGGAAUUCCUAGUGUAGAGGUGAAAUUCGUAGAUAUUAGGAAGAACACCGGUGGCGAAGGCGGCUCACUGGCCCGUUACUGACGCUGAGGUGCGAAAGCGUGGGGAGCAAACAGG
rnacentral:misc_RNA from 1 species